UACGGAGGGUGCAAGCGUUGUCCGGAUUCAUUGGGUUUAAAGGGUGCGCAGGCGGGACAUUAAGUCAGGGGUGAAAGACGGUUGCUCAACAAUCGCAGUGCCUUUGAUACUGGUGUUCUUGGGUGACCUUGAGGUAGGCGGAAUGGGUGGUGUAGCGGUGAAAUGCAUAGAUACCACCCAGAACUCCGAUUGCGAAGGCAGCCUACUGGAGGUUUACCGACGCUCAGGCACGAAAAGCGUGGGGGAGCAAAACAGG
rnacentral:rRNA from 1 species